CGUGAGAUGUUUCGGUUAAGUCCGGCAACGAGCGCAACCCACAUCCCUAGUUGCCAGCAGUUCGGCUGGGCACUCUAUGGAAACUGCCCGUGAUAAGCGGGAGGAAGGUGUGGAUGACGUCAAGUCCUCAUGGCCCUUACGGGUUGGGCUACACACGUGCUACAAUGGUAAUGACAAUGGGUUAAUCCCAAAAAGCUAUCUCAGUUCGGAUUGUCGUCUGCAACUCGACGGCAUGAAGUCGGAAUCGCUAGUAAUCGCGUAACAGCAUGACGCGGUGAUACGUUCCCGGGCCUUGUACACACCGCCCGUCACACCAUGGGAGUUGGUUCUACCCGACGGCCGUGCGCUAACCUUUUGGAGGCAGCGGACCACGGUAGGAUCAGCGACUGGGGUGAAGUCGUAACCAAGGUAACCC
rnacentral:rRNA from 1 species